rnacentral:lncRNA from 1 species
GUCGCCCCGAACAAGGGGUGGGGGAUGGGAGAGAAGCUAGGGAACCCCGUGGCUUUGUAGCUCUGGUCUCACUCUUCCCUCUAUCUGGAGACUGCCUGUCUGAGCUACAUCUCCGCUUUAUCGAACAUCUCUUGAGCAUCAUUCCCAAAGAAUUUCUAACCGGAGUCACCACAGGCCAAGGCCGGCGAGGAGAGAAGACCGCCUUUAACCGGCUGCCUUGUCGCCUGGCGAGGUCGCGGUGCUGUUUCUGGCUGCGAGACUCUCCCAGUUGUCCGCAGCCCCUCAGGCUCCCAAGGCUCCGUGAGCGCGAAGGUGCAGAGUCCUCCUCAUUCCUGCUGCAGCUGCCCGGGAGUUGUGUCGUCCAAUCUCCAUGCUAUUGCUCUCUUUGGUUGUUUUGCAGAAUGACCCGAAGCCCAGCCCUCUGCAGACAGGAAGAUCUGACACUCGGUGGCCGGAUCCUGGAUGCACAAUCAGACCUGAGCCAUUGUUCACUCUUCAGGCUCCCUCGGAAGGCAGCAGGGAGAAGGAGCUCAGCCCUCGGCUUCCUCCAUUCCACUUUGAAAAACGUUUCUUUUCUGUUCAUAAAGAACAUGGUCCCCAUGGACCAUUGCAUCUGCUUCUCAAGGUCUCGGGCUUCACAGAAGGAAGGAAGGCUCGGGGAAGCUGAGUGA